rnacentral:rRNA from 1 species
GACGAACGCUGGCGGCGUGCUUAACACAUGCCAGUCGAACGGAAAGGCCCUGCUUGCAGGGUACUCGAGUGGCGAACGGGUGAGUAACACGUGGGUGAUCUGCCCUGCACUUCGGGAUAAGCCUGGGAAACUGGGUCUAAUACCGGAUAGGAGCCAUUUUUAGUGUGAUGGUUGGAAAGUUUUUUCGGUGUAGGAUGAGCUCGCGGCCUAUCAGCUUGUUGGUGGGGUAAUGGCCUACCAAGGCGGCGACGGGUAGCCGGCCUGAGAGGGUGGACGGCCACAAUGGGACUGAGAGACGGCCCAGACUCCUACGGGAGGCAGCAGUGGGGAAUAUUGCACAAUGGGCGCAAGCCUGAUGCAGCGACGCCGCGGGGGGGAUGACGGCCUUCGGGUUGUAAACUCCUUUCGCUAGGGACGAAGCUUUUUGUGACGGUACCUAGAUAAGAAGCACCGGCUAACUACGUG